CCUACGGGUGACUGCAGUGAGGAAUAUUGGUCAAUGGACGAGAGUCUGAACCAGCCAAGUAGCGUGAAGGAUGACUGCCCUAUGGGUUGUAAACUUCUUUUAUAUGGGAAUAAAAUGUUCCACGUGUGGGAUUUUGUAUGUACCAUAUGAAUAAGGAUCGGCUAACUCCGUGCCAGCAGCCGUGGUAAUACGGAGGAUCCGAGCGUUAUCCGGAUUCAUUGGGUUUAAAGGGAGCGUAGGUGGAUUGUUAAGUCAGUUGUGAAAGUUUGCGGCUCAAACGUAAAAUUGCAGUUGAAACUGGCAGUCUUGAGUACAGUAGAGGUGGGCGGAAUUCGUGGUGUAGCGGUGAAAUGCUUAGAUAUCACGAAGAACUCCGAUUGCGAAGGCAGUUCACUGGACUGCAACUGACACUGAGGCUCGAAAGUGUGGGUAUCAAACAGGAUUAGCUACCCCGGUAGUC
rnacentral:rRNA from 1 species